GAUGAACGCUGGCGGCGUGCCUAAUACAUGCAAGUCGAGCGAACGGACGAGAAGCUUGCCUCUCUGAUGUUAGCGGCGGACGGGUGAGUAACGCGUGGAUAACCUACCUAUAAGACUGGGAUAACUUCGGGAAACCGGAGCUAAUACCGGAUAAUAUUUUGAACCGCAUGGUUCAAAAGUGAAAGACGGUCUUGCUGUCACUUAUAGAUGGAUCCGCGCUGCAUUAGCUAGUUGGUAAGGUAACGGCUUACCAAGGCAACGAUGCAUAGCCGACCUGAGAGGGUGAUCGGCCACACUGGAACUGAGACACGGUCCAGACUCCUACGGGAGGCAGCAGUAGGGAAUCUUCCGCAAUGGGCGAAAGCCUGACGGAGCAACGCCGCGUGAGUGAUGAAGGUCUUCGGAUCGUAAAACUCUGUUAUUGGGGAAGAACAUAUGUGUAAGUAACUGUGCACAUCUUGACGGUACCUAAUCAGAAAGCCACGGCUAACUACGUG
rnacentral:rRNA from 1 species